ACAGGGCUCGGGGUCCACGGCGGCGGGCUUCCCCCGGUGCAGGGCGCGCGCCAGGGCGACCCCGCGGCGGCUUUCCGGACGGCGCGGGUCCGGCGGAGGGAGGGGCGCGGUGCCAGAAACAACUUCCUGCUCCCCUGGCCCGGAGCGUAGGAGCUGCGGAGAGAAGUUCUAGGCCGCAGCUUUGCUCUCUCCGAGACCGACGACUACACUGCAACACCCCGGGGCCGCGCGGUUCCCUCCCGCGCCCCCUUCCGGGGGUCGCGACAGGCAGGGUUCCAGGGCCCGGACACCGGUUAUAAUGCCAAGGAGGCCGCAGCAGCUUGAACCGCCGGCUCCGCGGGGGCGCCUGAGUGGUUUCCCCGCAGAAAGGCCGACCUGGGCCUCCGUCGCUCGGGGACGACACCGGGUCACUAUGCUCAGACCCCCUCUCCCUGUCCAGGCAUGCCCUCUCUCAGAGCCAGAUGGACCUGGCUGUCCCAGGACGCCCGCGACGGGGGCCCGAGGGGAACAAGGUCUCCUGGGCCCCAUCCCAAUGUCUCUCUGUGCCUGUCUCCCCCCAGCGCCCCCCCCCCACCCAGCCGGCCUUGGCAUUCUAACCAGUGUCCCUUGACGUCACAUCUCGCCAUUUCUGUCAACCAAUUGAAACUUGCUCGUUGUCAUAAAAAUAUAUAUACUUUUUAUGCCAUUGGUACAUUCAAAAGUUCCUCGUGUGCCCUUGCUUCCCAGGAAACUCCAUUCCAUAUUGGAUUGGACUGCCCAGAAAGAGGAAACUGGCCGCUCGAGGCAGGGCUGGGCUGGGGCCUGGGUUGCCCACCCACCCACCCACCUUGGAAGCUCUCUAGGCCCCUAUGACCUUGGCCUUGAACUGUGGCUGGACACCCACCUGUGAGAUACAUGGUUUCACGGGGAGGGGAAAAGGUCAGGAUAUACUAAGGAAUCUUCCCAAAUUGCUUUCCCGGGUGUUAGACUCUUACCGUGGCCUCUUUUUAGAGGCAGUUUUUCUUAUUUCUCUGAGAAAACUGAGUUUUAGAAAAUGGAGUAGAAAUGUUUUCCGGUGACUCUUUUCAUUGAAAUGCUGACCAACUUUCACUUUUCACAGCAGAGCAGAGACAGCCCAAGCCGGGUGACUUCACAAUGGGGUGGGUUUCACUCUUUCCCCGAGGAAGGUCCAGGGUGGCCCUCCCAGCCUCAAGGACCGUGGCGUCCCAAGCUGGGUGCCCAGGAAUUCUGUGCUCCUCCUUCCUCAGUAAAGGACACCCUCGUAGCAGCUCCAGGCUUAGGAAUGCCGUGUCUGUAUUCUAGCAAUACGGCAGAACUACGUCUCUUGUCUAGCACCCGUCCUUUAUAAUCUUCUUCCCUGUUACAGCUCCCAGCCCUGACUAGGCCUGUGGGGUAAGAGAGCACGUCCUACAAACUGAGUGUGUGCAAGGCAGUCCCAAAGAGCCACCCAGAACCCUCUAUCACCUCCCCUGCUGCCGCUGCCACACCGAGGAAGAACCCAAGCACCGCUUGCCAUUAUACACGCCCCCCCAGCCCCCCAUCUCUACUGCAUGGUUCAACGGCUUUAAAAAAAAAAAAAACCCAUCAGACAUUCUGUGGCUUAGCAACUUUGGGGACUCCAGAACGACAAUACUUUUCGAGACUGGCUGAAUGCAGAGAUCUAAACACACUAAGUCUCGGGCCCUUUUCAUACCAAACCUUGUUUUUCCAAAAUAAUGAGCAAGCUCGGUAACUACUGAACGGGGAUUUUGAAAAUAAAUAUAUGGUUACUAUUUUCACAUAAAACCGUUCCCCAAGUGCUAACUCUAGAGAUGUGUAUACCUCUGUGAUAACGUUCACACACACACACACACACACACACACACACACACACUGCACUCCAACAACUGCGCUCUAAUCUAUUGAUAAUCACUUUCCUAAACACUAUAAAUAUUAUAACUAAUGUGAUACAUGUUUUGUGAUUCCGUUGGUGGAUUAAAACGUUGAAUUUAAAAAGCCACAGAGAAAAAGAGAUUAUCUUACAUUAUGCCAGUUACAACUUUUGUUCCUUUGGCACAAAUACAAAUUUGACAACGGUAUCAUUACGGAAGGCACUGACUGAAUGCCAGCGUAUUAACUUUGUAAUUUUCACCUGAAAUCAUUGUAUAAUCACACCCGAGUUGCUAACCUUUUUAUUAGCUGAUUUUUUUUUCUUGCUCUCACACACAUUAAUAAGUUAAUUUGAUGCUGUUUUCCGCCCCCUCCUAAUUUUUAUUUGGUAAAACAAGAAAUUGGGUGAGUCAGAACCAUAUUUGAGAACACGCACUUUUUUUUUUUUAAUCCUCUCUAUACUUGGCAAGGAUUUACAUAUAAUUUGGUUACAAAUUCAGAAAUCAAAUUCUGCUUUAUUCAAGGAAAAUAAUAGCUUUCAGGUAAUUCCACUGGCUACUCUUCAGGUUGGUUUUUUAAAGUCUUUUCCCAACUUGCUAUCAUAUUACGUUAUUCAGAGCAAAUAAUAUUAACAAGUGUGCUCAAAUUCUCAAAACAGAAACCUGGAACAUUUACUUUGUUGGUGAGUGUUAUUAUGAUGGACAGGCUUCCUGGCGAAAGAACUUGGUCUGGGUCUGUGAGCCACACCGUGCCUAAGGUCAGACGUUGAAAAAAAUAAGUCAUAGGAAGGCUCUCGAUAUACCGGGAUGUUUACAGUAUCGGCCUUAUACAGUUAUUUUUUUCCUGAUUUCUCCCAAGAUCUGCCUAAUGGGAAUGCAGCUGGCGACUUCCUGCUCUGCCUCCGAGCCCGUGUCCCCGGCCCAGCGUCCGGCCUCAGAACAGCCCAGAAGGCCGCGGGCACUCCAGUUUACUGUCCCUUUUCCCUACGCAGCGACUUCUAGUAGUUCAAAAAAAAUUCGGUGUACAAGACAUUCCAAGGACUUAGUAAACAGAUGCGUUUAAUCUCAUUAAAAGCAA